GAUGAAGAACGUAGCGAAAUGCGAUACUUGGUGUGAAUUGCAGAAUCCCGUGAACCAUCGAGUCUUUGAACGCAAGUUGCGCCCGAAGCCAUUAGGCCGAGGGCACGCCUGCCUGGGCGUCACACGUCGUUGCCCCCCCAUCUACUCCUUCGGGAUUGCGGGGGGCGGAUGAUGGCCUCCCGUGCGCCUCGUCGUGCGGUUGGCAUAAAUACCAAGUCCUCGGCGACGCACGCCACGACAAUCGGUGGUUGCGAAACCUCGGUUGCCCGUCGUGUGCGUUCGUCGCGCAUCGAGGGCUCGAAAAAAUGCUCGGCUCCGGCUGGGCUUUCAACGCGACCCCAGGUCAGGCGGGGUUACCCGCUGAAUUUAAGCAUAUCAAUAAGCGGAGGA
rnacentral:misc_RNA from 1 species